rnacentral:tRNA from 1 species
GCCGAGGUGGCGGAAUUGGUAGACGCGCUACCUUGAGGGGGUAGUGCCCUACGGGCGUGUGGGUUCAAGUCCCAUUCUCGGCACCA